AUAAUGGUGUCUUUAGACACCACCUUUUGUAUUUGAAAAUUGAUUU
rfam:Picea glauca, whole genome shotgun sequence.